rnacentral:lncRNA from 1 species
AAGAAGCUACGAAGGUCAAAAUAGAACACGCUUAAACUAAUGGGGACCAAUUUGGAAAAUAGCCCAACAUUCGGACACCCGUCCUUUCCCCGUGGGCUCAGCGUACCUAGGACUAAAUUGAAUUGUACACAAGAUAUGUGGCCGAAAUUUAAAAAAAUAAACAAAAAGGUAAGUAACAGGCUAAAUUGCAGCGCGCUAUGAAGGUAGAGGGACCAAAUGGAGAAAUAUCCCAAAAGAGCAAAACGCGUGGAUCCCCUCUGGAGAGGGUCGGGUCGCGCGCGGGUGUACCAGAAACGACGCCGUUUCGACGUUAAUGUCCCAUGUGCAAAACGGCACCGUUUUGCCUUAUUGUUUUAAGUUAAAAAUUUCAUUUUUUUCAUCUGCUUCCUUUUCUUUUUAAAAAAAAAAAAUAGAACACCCCCUUUCCCCAUUUCUCUUUUCGGCUAGGGUUUUGAAACCCAUCAUCGCCGCUGUCGUCACAGCGCUACCAUGGGCGGUGGUUGGGGCGGUGCGAGAGGGGCUUUCUAGCCCUUAUUUAGGACACCCGCGAAGGCUAUGCCUUCUCAACCCAAAAAGCACGAAAGAAAAGAGUCUCUCCCUUCCCCAUUCGAUCCGAUCCCGACGACGGAGAGGAGACCUCUGGCGACGUAGCCGCGGACGAUUCUGGUGAGAUCCUCUUCUCUUUUCUUUUGUUUAUUUAUGACCACUUUUAAAAUAGAUUUGUAAAUAAAAAAUAAUAAUAAUAAGAAACUAAAAAAAUGAAACGAAAAAUGAAGAAAAGAAAAUCGAAAUCAACCUUUCUGCUUUUGAUUGCUUCAAAUCGUGUGUUUAAAACAUUUUUGGUUUUUUGGGGCUUUAUAGCUGAGAAUAUUACAAAUACAUUAUCUAUUUUGCUACUGCUUUUUGUUGCUUUUUUGUCUGCUUUGUUUCUACUUUCUUUCUCUUUUUUGCGUGUUUACAGGUCAAGGAGGAGGUCAACGAGGGCAAAAACAUGCCACUUUGGUGUAAGGCCGAUAAAGGAAAUGACCCUCGGGCGAUGUGUGCACUGAGGGCGCACAUGGAGGGCGGUACGGCGCACUCGAGGCACGCGAAAGGAAGACUAUUCUUUGAGCUAGGAUUUUUUAGUUUUAGGCCUACAAAAUUUGAGCUUUAUAUUUGGGUUGUAAAUUUUGGUUUGGUAUGUUUUACAUUCGGGCUCUUUUUAUAAUUGGACUCAAACUCUUAACUUGUUUUGAUUUUAUUUUUAUUUUUGGGUUAUUGGUUUAGCCCCGGGCAAAAUAGGCCCAUUACACCAACAAAAAGGAUGAAAGGAAUCAUAUGCAACUCCUUUUCAAACGAAACAAAAAAAAACAGAACAUUCAAUGUUUAUCCGGGGCAAUGGUCAUAAAAGAACCAAAGUCAGAAUUGGUAAAAUGGGA